rnacentral:lncRNA from 1 species
UUCUAAGGUACCUCCAAACUGUCCUCCAUAUGGCUGUACCAGUUUACAUUCCCACCAACAGUGCAGGAGGGUUCCCUUUUCUCCACAGCCCCUCCAGCACUUGUUAUUUGUGGAUUUAUUAAUGAUGGCCAUUCUGACUGGUGUGAGGUGGUGUCUCAUGAUUGUUUUGAUUUUCAUUUCUCUUAUGAUCAGUGAUGUUGAGCAUUUUUUCAUGUGUUUGUUGGCCAUCUGUAUAUCUUCUUUGGAGAAAUGUCUAUUCAGGUCUUUUGCCCAUUUUUCCAUUGCUUGAUUGGCUUUUUUGCUGUUGAGUUGUAUAAGUUGCUUAUAUAUUCUAGAGAUUAAGCCCUUGUCAGUUGCAUCAUUUGAAACUAUUUUCUCCCAUUCUGUAAGUUGUCUUUUUGUUUUCUUUUGGGUUUCCUUUGCUGUGCAAAAGCUUGUCAGUUUGAUGAGGUCCCAUGGGUUUAUUUUUGCUCUUAUUGCUAUUGCUUUGGGAGACUGACCUGAGAAAAUAUUCAUGAUGUUGAUGUCAUAGAGUGUUUUGCCUAUGUUCUCUUCCAGGAGUUUGAUGGUGUCCUGUCAUAUAUUUAAGUCUUUCAGCCAUUUGGAGUUUAUUUUUGUGCAUGGCGUGAGGGUGUGUUCUAGUUUCAUUGCUUUGCAUGCAGCUGUCCAGGUUUCCCAGCAAUGCUUGCUGAAUAGACUUUCUUUUUCCCGUUUUAUGUUCUUGCCUCCCUUGUCAGAGAUUAAUUGACCAUAGGUGUCAGGGUUUAUUUCCGGGUUCUCUAUUGUGUUCCAUUGGUCUGUCUGUCUGUUUUGAUACCAGUACCACACUGUUUUGAUGACUGUGGCUUUGUAAUAUUUCUUGAAGUCUGGGAGAGUUAUGCCUCCUGCUUGGUUUUUUGUUUCUCAGGAUUGCUUUGGCGAUUCUGGGUCUUUUGUGGUUCCAUAUAAAUGUUUGGAUUGUGUGUUCUAGUUCUGUGAAAAAUGUCCUGGGUAAUUUGAUAGGGAUUGCAUUGAAUCUGUAGAUUGCUUUGGGUAGUAUGGCCAUUUUUACAGUAUUGAUUUUCCCAACCCAGGAACAUGGACUAUCUUUCCAUUUCUUUACAUCUUCUUUGAUUUCUUUGAUUAAAGUUUUAUAGUUCUGGGCCUAUAGGUCCUUUACCUCCUUGGUCAGGUGUAUUCCGAGGUAUUUGAUUUUGUGAGGUGCCAUUUUAAAAGGUAUCAUAUUUUUGUAUUCCUUUUCUAAUAUUUCAUUGCUGGUAUACAGAAAUGCAACUGACUUCUGAAGGUUAAUCUAUAUCCCGCUACUUUGCUGAAUUUAUGAAUCAGUUCAGGUACUUCUGGGGUUGAGUCCUUAGGGUUUUCUAUGUAUAGUAUCAUGUCAUCUGCGUACAGUGACAGUUUGAUCUCCUCUCUUCCCAUAUGGAUGCCUUUUAUUUCUUUGGUUUGUCUAACUGCUGUGGCUAGGACUUUCAAAACUAUGUUGAAGUGCAGUGGUGAGAGUGGGCAUCCCUGUCUUGUUGCAGAUUUGAGUGAGAUGGUGUUCAGUUUUUCCCCAUUGAGUAUUAUAUUUGCUGUGGGUUUAUCUUAAAUGGCUUUGAUUAUAUUCAGGAAUGUUCCCUCUAUACAGAGGGUAGGAACUUUAGACCCCCUUAGUCCACCCCUCUUCCUACAUGGGGAGAAAUGCCUUUUCAUGUCUAAGUAAUGAAGUCUCCAUAAAAACUCUACAGGACAAAGUUCUGGGAGAUUCUGGGGUGGUGAAUACAUGGAGAUCCAGGGAGAGGUGUGCACUUGGGCAGGGCAUGGAAGCUUCUUGCCUUUUCCCCAUGUCUUUCCCUACUCAUCUCUUCCACCUGGCUGUUUCUGAGUUGUAUCCUUUAUAAUUUUUUUUUUUCUUUGGACUGUUUAGGGCCAUGCCUGUGGCAUGUGAAGGCUUGCAGGCUAGGGGUCCAAUCAGAGCUGUAGCCACCAGCUUACACCACAGCCAUAGCAAUGCAGGAUUUGAGCUGUUUCUGCAAGCUACACACACCACAGCUCAUGGCAAGUUGGAUCCUUAACCUACUGAGCGAGGCCGGGGAUCAAACCCAAUCCUCAUGGGUACUAGUCGGGUUUGUUAACUGCUGAGCCAUGACAGGAGCUCCUACCCUUUAUACAUAAUGGUAAUGUAAUAAUUAAAUUAUUUCCCUGAAUUCUGUGAGCUGCUCUAUUGUAAGUUAAUAGAACCUAAGGAGGGGGUCAUAGGAACCUCUGAUUUAUAGCCAGUUGAUCAGAAGUACAGGUAACAACUUGGACUUGUGAUUGGUAUUCUGAGUUGGAAGGGGCUGUUAGAACCCCUAAUAUGUAGCCAGUUGAACCAAAAGCUCAGCUCAGAAGUUCCCACCGUGAUGUAAUGGUUAACGAAUCCAACUAGGAACCAUGAGGUUGUGGGUUCAGUCCCUGCCCUGGCUCAGUGGGUUAACGAUCCGGCGUUGCCAUGAGCUGUGGUGUAGGUUGCAGAUGCGGCUUGGAUCCCGCGUUGCUGUGGCUCUGGCGUAGGCCGGUGGCUACAGCUCUCAUUCAGCCCCUAGCCUGGAAACCUCCAUAUGCCAUGGGUGUGGCCCUAGAACAGACAAAAAGAACAAACAAAAAAAAAAAAACUCAGCUCACAAACCUCUUACCUGUGGAACCUCACACAUGUUAGAAUUGAUUUGAAUUGAUAUCUGAGAAUUUGUUGUUCUUGUAGUUAAAACCCCCUCAGCAUAUUUGGUUAUCCAAAGUGCAUGAGCAAUGAAGGAGACUCACAAGAGAGAAACACAGUAGGAAAAAAAUGUUUUUCUUCCCUGUUAGAGGAAAAAAAUUGAGUUUUUAUAUAUUGUACUGUGCUUGUGGGAGGUCAUCAUUUUUAUUUAUAUUUCAUAUCUUUUUUUUUUCACUCAUGAACAAAUAUAAUUUUUGGAUUACAGAUAACAUGCAAUAUUAUGAAUCAUUGUCAUGAAUUAUUCCACUGUUCACAAACUGAAAUACUUAUGUGUAUAUCCACCUGGUAUAUCUGAAGUACCCACACUUUAGGUACUUUUCCCCCCAACACACAUGCUUAAUACCCCCCCAAAAAAACCACACACAUCUAUGAUCAAACUGUCCACUCAAUAUUUGCUAUAACUGCAAAUUUCCAAUGGUGAAAUGAGAAAAAAAUAUCAUUAUGGUUCAUCAAUUACUCUGAUUCUCUUAACAGAGGUUGGUAUGACUCUGAAUCUGUUGCCAAAUGCAAGUUUGUAUGUCCAAUGUAUAAUUUGGCAAAAAAACCCCAAAAAGUCAGAGUUUAAAGUGGAGAAAGGUUUACUUCAGGGUCAAGCAAGGAGAAUGGGCAGCUUGUGCUCAAAAGACCCAAACUCCCUGGUGGUUUUGGGGGAAGAAUUUUUAAAGGCAAAAUUUAGGGUAGGGCCUGCAGGAUGUGUGAACUUCUUCUGAUUGGUUGGUGGUAGGAGGAUGGUUCUUCAAGAGUCUUGUGCUUGACCUGAAGUGACCAUCCUCCAUUUAGGUGGGGGGCCCCUAGUUUCUGCAGGAUUUAAACAUGUAUUGUUGUGCAUAUUUCUGGAGGAGGAUCCUUGACUCUGCUUUAUCUCUGCACUAUUGUUUCUUGACUGUUUCCCCUUUAUUUUUGAGUUCCCUCCCUCUCCUAAUUAGUAACUGUUGAAUAAGACCUCAGGGAAGGUCUAGGAGCUGAAGCCUUUUUCUUACAAACCAGAAACUGGGAACACUGAAUGGCUUUUGUACUCAGAAGGGCCCUACAAGGUCCUGCUUGGUUUCAAAUCCAAAUAUUUUAUUGGUAAAAUUUUCAAUUAUGCAUCCAAAUAGAAAAAAUCAUACAUAAUAACAUUGCUGUUUUCAUUACUUUAGUAUUAGGAUAGUUAAAUGAAUCACUCAUAAUACAUAGGUUUAUGCUAAGUGGUUACAUUUAUGUCAUUAGGCCUCAAAUAGAACAUAAAUGAAAUACUAAGAAAAAUAUGAAUGUUUUGAUUUAUAAGGGAAUUAUAAGAUUCAGGAUUAAACUUCAGGCUUUUAAUACACUUUGAUAAAGCUUAUGUUUUAUAAGUACAUUAAUUGGCUAGAAAAUGAACCAUAAUAAAUGGCUCCUCAGAAGAAAACAGGAACCUGAUCUUUCAGUUGUAGAGCCUCUGGUAUAAUGGAAAAACUAUGCCUCUUACAUUACAAGAGGUUGUUCACUAUUUCCAUAUUGUUGAACAAAUUCAGUAAGAAUGCUCUUGAACAAAGGGAAGAAUUAACAUUCAUCUCUAGAUUUGAAUUUAGCCCUGGCAAAUAAAAGUAACUGAAACAUCAAUAAACAUUUCUGUUAGGUUCCAUUAAAAUUUUGCUUAUCCAGGUAAAAUACCCUGGGUUAGAAUGCUGCUCUAAGAAAUCAUAUAAGGGAGUUCUCACUGUGGCUCAGUAGGUUAAGCAUUUUCUCUAUGGCAGCACAAGUUCAAUUCCCAGCCAGUACAAUUGGUUAAGGAUACACUGUUGCCACAGCUGUGGCAUAGGUUGAAUCUGUGGCUUGGAUUCCUUUCCUGGCCUACAAAUUUCCAACUGCAUGGGUGAAGCCAAAAAAGAAAAAAAAAAGAAAGAAAGAAAUCAUAUGAAAUAAAAAUACUGAUUUUAAUACCAACUUUAAGGAUGCUUAGGCAUAUUUUGCUCACCAUUGUAUUGCUAAAUCAUAGCAUAGGCUAAGUUAAGUUUUAAUCAUUUUAUGAAAGUUAUCUGAGGAGGUCCCAUUGUGGCUCAGCAGUAAUGAACCGGACUAAUACCCAUGAGGAUGCUUGUUUGAUCCCUGGCCUUGCUUAAUGGGUUAAGGAUCUGGGCAUUGCCAUGAGCUAUGACUUGGUUGAAGAUACAGCUUGGAUCCUGCAUUGCUGUGGCUAUGGUGAAGG